rnacentral:rRNA from 1 species
UACGUAGGGUGCGAGCGUUGUCCGGAAUUACUGGGCGUAAAGAGCUCGUAGGUGGUUUGUCGCGUUGUCCGUGAAAACUCACAACUCAAUUGUGGGCGUGCGGGCGAUACGGGCAGACUGGAGUACUGCAGGGGGAGACUGGAAUUCCUGGUGUAGCGGUGAAAUGCGCAGAUAUCAGGAGGAACACCGGUGGCGAAGGCGGGUCUCUGGGCCGAUACUGACGCUGAGGAGCGAAAGCAUGGGUAGCGAACAGG